rnacentral:lncRNA from 1 species
ACAUAUUAGCCUGAACCAAGCUAUGGCAGUAGGAAUAGAAUACGGCACAUAAAGAGUGUAGAGUUAAGGAAGUCAUACAUUGUUACAUGGGAAUACUGAGAAGGUGGGAUCUAUUAAAUAUAUAUUCAGUCCAUUGGAAGAGGACACAUGAAUGGUCAGUUUUGCACCUGAUGGACUAUUUAGCUUUUCUACUUCUUGAUGACAAGGAUUCUCAUACUAGGUUUUGAAAUACAUUUCUAACAUUAGUGUAUCACAUGUGGAGUUGGCAGUAAAAAUUUGUUGAAUGACCAAAACUGGGUAAAAAAUGUAUAAUGGUUAUUUUAACUCUCAAGAAAGGAUUUGAGCUAGAUAUCUGAAAAUUACCCACCAAUAUCCUGAGAUAAUAUUUGAAGUUAGGUAGGAGGAUGAGAGCCAACAAAGAAAAUGAAGAAAAUAUAUUCAAGAUAAGAGUCUUGAGGAGUGCUGCAUCAUUAGGAAAAAAGAAUGAAAUGAUUUGACACUGAAAAAGACUGUAGUAGGUAGGAGGGAAAGACUAGAAUUGGUUGAUUUCAAGAAUGGAAGGUCAAUGACUGCUGCUUCGAAACAGUGAGCAAUAACGACUGAGAAAAGGCUCCAGGUUCAUGUGGUUUGGUUGGGGUAUUACCUCUGGCUAAGUAUUUUCUAAAAAGCAUCUUUAUGAGGAAUGAUAGAUUUGGAGGUCACCUUAUAAAGGCUAAGUGGAUAAU